rnacentral:rRNA from 1 species
GCAGUCGAGGGGCAUCAGUUUGGUUUGCUUGCAACCAAAGCUGGCGACCGGCGCACGGGUGAGUAACACGUAUCCAACCUGCCUCAUACUCGGGGAUAGCCUUUCGAAAGAAAGAUUAAUAUCCGAUAGCAUAUAUUUCCCGCAUGGGUUUUAUAUUAAAGAAAUUCGGUAUGAGAUGGGGAUGCGUUCCAUUAGUUUGUUGGCGGGGUAACGGCCCACCAAGACUACGAUGGAUAGGGGUUCUGAGAGGAAGGUCCCCCACAUUGGAACUGAGACACGGUCCAAACUCCUACGGGAGGCAGCAGUGAGGAAUAUUGGUCAAUGGACGCGAGUCUGAACCAGCCAAGUAGCGUGAAGGAUGACUGCCCUAUGGGUUGUAAACUUCUUUUAUAUGGGAAUAAAGUGGUCCACGUGUGGAUUUUUGUAUGUACCAUAUGAAUAAGGAUCGGCUAACUCCGUGCCAGCAGCCGCGGUAAUACGGAGGAUCCGAGCGUUAUCCGGAUUUAUUGGGUUUAAAGGGAGCGUAGGCGGAUUGUUAAGUCAGUUGUGAAAGUUUGCGGCUCAACCGUAAAAUUGCAGUUGAUACUGGCAGUCUUGAGUGCAGUAGAGGUGGGCGGAAUUCGUGGUGUAGCGGUGAAAUGCUUAGAUAUCACGAAGAACUCCGAUUGCGAAGGCAGCUCACUGGAGUGUAACUGACGCUGAUGCUCGAAAGUGUGGGUAUCAAACAGGAUUAGAUACCCUGGUAGUCCACACAGUAAACGAUGAAUACUCGCUGUUUGCGAUAUACAGUAAGCGGCCAAGCGAAAGCAUUAAG